rnacentral:rRNA from 1 species
AAUAGAUACCCUGGUAGUCCACGCCGUAAACGAUGUCGACUUGGAGGUUGUUCCCUUGAGGAGUGGCUUCCGGAGCUAACGCGUUAAGUCGACCGCCUGGGGAGUACGGCCGCAAGGUUAAAACUCAAAUGAAUUGACGGGGGCCCGCACAAGCGGUGGAGCAUGUGGUUUAAUUCGAUGCAACGCGAAGAACCUUACCUACUCUUGACAUCCAGAGAACUUAGCAGAGAUGCUUUGGUGCCUUCGGGAACUCUGAGACAGGUGCUGCAUGGCUGUCGUCAGCUCGUGUUGUGAAAUGUUGGGUUAAGUCCCGCAACGAGCGCAACCCUUAUCCUUUGUUGCCAGCGGUUCGGCCGGGAACUCAAAGGAGACUGCCAGUGAUAAACUGGAGGAAGGUGGGGAUGACGUCAAGUCAUCAUGGCCCUUACGAGUAGGGCUACACACGUGCUACAAUGGCGUAUACAAAGAGAAGCGACCUCGCGAGAGCAAGCGGACCUCAUAAAGUACGUCGUAGUCCGGAUUGGAGU